CAAAGUAAAGCUUGGUAGUUAAGCAUUUCAUUUACACUGAGAAGAAAUUUCGUGCAAAUCGAAUUAUUUUGA
rnacentral:tRNA from 1 species